rnacentral:tRNA from 1 species
GGGUCGGUGCCCGAGUGGCUAAAGGGAACGGGCUGUAAACCCGUUGGCGUGAGCCUACGCUGGUUCGAAUCCAGCCCGGCCCA